UUCAUCUUUCUGCUUCACUGGUACUAUUCCAAGUGCACAUCACUCAGUCUGGCUUUUUUUUUUCUUAAAACAUGGUCUCUAGGGAAUCAAACUUGUGUCCUUGAGCCUUGUGAACACUUCACUGGUUAAUCCAUCUCCCCUAUCUUAUCCCCUAUUUUUAUGGAUAGGAAAAUUGAAGAUGAAAGAAUUCAUGCUUCUGCUCAAUCCACACCUUGCUACAUUGUAUUAGUUAUGCCUCCGCUCAAUCCACACCUUGCUACAUUGUAUCAGUUGUGCUUCCGCUCCAUCCAUACCUUGCUACAUUGUAUCAGUUGUGCACAGAGCACAGAUGUGCAGCUCCUCCUGUCCCUCAGAGCCAACACCAGAAGCACUGGCAAUUCCAAAAGGAAUCAGAGGAGAAAAGGAAUCUCAGAAUUCUUGUCAGUUUGGGCACUGAAGUUGGGUUCUACUGAGGAUAAACACAUUUCCUACUCAUUUAAGGAGAAUGGAGGUUUUCUGCGGAAAAAAAUUUCCAUAUCAAAUCUCAGUAUUAUCUUCGUGCUUGACGUUCAGACAAAUAAAUAAAAAGAGAACAGUAACGAAAGGCGUCACCAGAAGGCAUCUUGAGAUGAGAGCACAGAGCUACCUGCCGUGUGUCAAGCCUCCAGGUAAGCCAGGCUGCCAGUGAUAACUGCGGGUUCUGAAUGGGACGCUAGGGGGCGUGUUACUCCGGAGCUGACCGCCCAGGUUCCUGUGAGGAGCCAGCCGGUGGCCAAGGAGGAGUAGAGGACAUGGGACCUCACUCGAGAGAAAUAAGCAACAGAACUUACUAUAGAGAAGCUUCGCUUUUGCAAAUUCACUCCACAAAAUAGCAAAACUACUCAGUGAUCCACCCCACCCCCCUCCAUGAACAACAAAGCCACCUGCCUGAAGAGCUAAGGGCCAGCCAUGCGGGAGGCAUACCAAAUCAUAGGAUGGCAAAGUGUUAUUGCCUACUGACAAAUUACAGGGGGUUGAAAUUUAACUACACUACCUAAUGGCAAACCUCUUCAGCCAGGAAAGGGUAAAGAGACCAGAGAAGAGCAAGCUUUGGAUUCCAGCAGGUAGGAAGGCUGGGCCAGCCACACAGCCACUGGCUGAGUGCAGACUUGGUCACUAAUGAAGCAGUGAAACCAGAACCUCCCCCUACC